AGGUAACGGCUCACCUAGGCGACGAUACAUAGCCGACCUGAGAGGGUGAUCGGCCACACUGGGACUGAGACACGGCCCAGACUCCUACGGGAGGCAGCAGUAGGGAAUCUUCGGCAAUGGGGGCAACCCUGACCGAGCAAGGCCGCGUGAGUGAAGAAGGUUUUCGGAUCGUAAAGCUCUGUUGUAAGUCAAGAACGAGUGUGAGAGUGGAAAGUUCACACUGUGACGGUAGCUUACCAGAAAGGGACGGCUAACUACGUGCCAGCAGCCGCGGUAAUACGUAGGUCCCGAGCGUUGUCCGGAUUUAUUGGGCGUAAAGCGAGCGCAGGCGGUUUGAUAAGUCUGAAGUUAAAGGCUGUGGCUCAACCAUAGUUCGCUUUGGAAACUGUCAAACUUGAGUGCAGAAGGGGAGAGUGGAAUUCCAUGUGUAGCGGUGAAAUGCGUAGAUAUAUGGAGGAACACCGGU
rnacentral:rRNA from 1 species